CUCUAACACUCUCUGCCUGCUUGACUUUGAAGAAGUUAACUUCUCUGAGCCUCGGUUUCCUGUUCGGGAAAAUGGAGACAAUAUGCGUAGUUCCUGUUUCACAAGUCUGUUAUGAGUAUUAGAUAACAUAUGUAAAGCUGCUUUGAAAAUUAUGCAACAUUAAGAAACAUAAGGAAUUUUCAUUCAUCUGUUCGUUGAAGGGAAAAGAGCUCAGUGCCGAGCGAGUGGAGGAAAUCUAACGCUCUCCUCCCACCCGGAACAGGCUUGGGAAGAGGUCUUGGGAUGUCUCUGCUGUACCGUCCACUGCCAGAGGUUUAAGUCCAGUACUUUGUUUGGGAUACAGAGUGUUAGAAGCUGUAGUCACAGGAGGAGACGUUAGCACAUAGCUGCCUCCAGACGGGGAGCCUGACUUCAGGAAUUCAGCCAAGGUUCUUCACCUCGGCCUGUCCGGGUUAUAUCAGCCG
rnacentral:lncRNA from 1 species